rnacentral:rRNA from 1 species
CCUACGGGUGGCUGCAGUGGGGAAUAUUGGACAAUGGGCGAAAGCCUGAUCCAGCCAUGCCGCGUGUGUGAAGAAGGCCUUCGGGUUGUAAAGCACUUUCAGUGGGGAAGAAAGCCUUGGGGCUAAUACCCUCGAGGAAGGACAUCACCCACAGAAGAAGCACCGGCUAACUCCGUGCCAGCAGCCGCGGUAAUACGGAGGGUGCGAGCGUUAAUCGGAAUUACUGGGCGUAAAGCGCGCGUAGGCGGUCUGAUAAGCCGGUUGUGAAAGCCCCGGGCUCAACCUGGGAACGGCAUCCGGAACUGUCAGGCUAGAGUGCAGGAGGGGAAGGUAGAAUUCCCGGUGUAGCGGUGAAAUGCGUAGAGAUCGGGAGGAAUACCAGUGGCGAAGGCGGCCUUCUGGACUGACACUGACGCUGAGGUGCGAAAGCGUGGGUAGCAAACAGGAUUAGAUACCCGUGUAGUC